CACUCCUCUCCCACUGCUACCUCCCCCCGCCGCCCCAGCACACUAGGCCCUUCUGCCUGGAGUUGGGGACAGGACCCAGAAACAUCAUGGUUCACACAGUAUGGCUGAGACUCCGAGAGGAGAAGGGACAUGGUCAAGAUCACGGGGAUGCCGGAUGAGAACCCAGGUACAGGUCACAUGCAUCCGGGGGACAGUGGUCCCAGGCGUGCCAUUGGAUUCCCAGAAUGCCCUGCUCCAGUUAUAACUAGCUUGCUCAGCAACACUGGAGUCCGAAAAGACAGUGCGCAUGCUCGGCGUGCAGUAUUGAGCUUAAACAGGGUGCCUGAGAAGCUCUUCCAGGAACCUGGUUUCCUGGACCUGAGAAGCACCAACGUCAGAGGUCCCACGUGAGUGAGGAAGCAGGUGGCCUGAGGCUUGGCCUCUGAGAAGCGGGCGGAGGCUCCGGGGCCACUGUUGUGGACAGGCUGGUGAGGGUAUUGGGACGC